rnacentral:tRNA from 1 species
CGGUGUAGCUCAAUGGCAGAGCAUCCGCCUUGUAAGCGGAAGGUUGCGGGUUCGACUCCCAUCACCG